rnacentral:rRNA from 1 species
AUACGUAGGGGGCGAGCGUUGUCCGGAAUGAUUGGGCGUAAAGGGCGCGUAGGCGGCCCGGUAAGUCUGGAGUGAAAGUCCUGUUUUUAAGAUGGGAAUUGCUUUGGAAACUGUCGGGCUUGAGGGCAGGAGAGGUAAGUGGAAUUCCAAGUGUAGCGGUGAAAUGCGUAGAGAUUGGGAGGAACACCAGUGGCGAAGGCGACUUACUGGACUGUAACUGACGCUGAGGCGCGAAAGUGUGGGGAGCAAACAGGAUUAGAUACCCUGGUAGUCCACACUGUAAACGAUGAAUGCUAGGUGUAGGGGGUAUCGACCCCUUCUGUGCCGCAGUCAACACAAUAAGCAUUCCGCCUGGGGAGUACGGCCGCAAGGUUGAAACUCAAAGGAAUUGACGGGG